CGAACGAGAAAUCGGGCUUCGGCCCGUGAGUAAAGUGGCAGACGGGUUAGUAACACGUGGGCAACCUGCCCCGGAGGUGGGGGAUAACCCUUCGAAAGGGGGGCUAAUACCGCAUGAUAUCCGGAGUUCCUCGGGACUCCAGAUCAAAGCUAGCCUAUGCUUGCAAGCUAGUGCCACCGGAGGGGCCCGCGCCCCAUUAGCUUGUUGGUGAGGUAACGGCUCACCAAGGCCGCGAUGGGUAGCCGGCCUGAGAGGGCGAUCGGCCACACUGGAACUGAGACACGGUCCAGACUCCUACGGGAGGCAGCAGUGAGGAAUCUUGCGCAAUGGGCGAAAGCCUGACGCAGCGACGCCGCGUGGAGGACGAAGGCCUUCGGGUUGUAAACUCCUGUCAAGUGGGACGAAUCCCGGGGAGGCGAAUAGUCUCUCCGGCUGACGGUACCACUGGAGGAAGCCCCGGCUAACUCCGUGCCAGCAGCCGCGGUAAUACGGAGGGGGCUAGCG
rnacentral:rRNA from 1 species